rnacentral:rRNA from 1 species
GGGUUGUGAGGUUAAGCGACUAAGCGUACACGGUGGAUGCCCUGGCAGUCAGAGGCGAUGAAGGACGUGCUAAUCUGCGAUAAGCGUCGGUAAGGUGAUAUGAACCGUUAUAACCGGCGAUUUCCGAAUGGGGAAACCCAGUGUGAUUCGUCACACUAUCAUUAACUGAAUCCAUAGGUUAAUGAGGCGAACCGGGGGAACUGAAACAUCUAAGUACCCCGAGGAAAAGAAAUCAACUGAGAUUCCCCCAGUAGCGGCGAGCGAACGGGGAGGAGCCCAGAGCCUGAAUCAGUGUGUGUGUUAGUGGAAGCGUCUGGAAAGGCGCGCGAUACAGGGUGACAGCCCCGUACACAAAAAUGCACAUGCUGUGAGCUCGAUGAGUAGGGCGGGACACGUGGUAUCCUGUCUGAAUAUGGGGGGACCAUCCUCCAAGGCUAAAUACUCCUGACUGACCGAUAGUGAACCAGUACCGUGAGGGAAAGGCGAAAAGAACCCCGGCGAGGGGAGUGAAAAAGAACCUGAAACCGUGUACGUACAAGCAGUGGGAGCACAGAGCAAUCUGUGUGACUGCGUACCUUUUGUAUAAUGGGUCAGCGACUUAUAUUCUGUAGCAAGGUUAACCGAAUAGGGGAGCCGAAGGGAAACCGAGUCUUAACUGGGCGUUAAGUUGCAGGGUAUAGACCCGAAACCCGGUGAUCUAGCCAUGGGCAGGUUGAAGGUUGGGUAACACUAACUGGAGGACCGAACCGACUAAUGUUGAAAAAUUAGCGGAUGACUUGUGGCUGGGGGUGAAAGGCCAAUCAAACCGGGAGAUAGCUGGUUCUCCCCGAAAGCUAUUUAGGUAGCGCCUCGUGAAUUCAUCUCCGGGGGUAGAGCACUGUUUCGGCAAGGGGGUCAUCCCGACUUACCAACCCGAUGCAAACUGCGAAUACCGGAGAAUGUUAUCACGGGAGACACACGGCGGGUGCUAACGUCCGUCGUGAAGAGGGAAACAACCCAGACCGCCAGCUAAGGUCCCAAAGUCAUGGUUAAGUGGGAAACGAUGUGGGAAGGCCCAGACAGCCAGGAUGUUGGCUUAGAAGCAGCCAUCAUUUAAAGAAAGCGUAAUAGCUCACUGGUCGAGUCGGCCUGCGCGGAAGAUGUAACGGGGCUAAACCAUG